rnacentral:rRNA from 1 species
AGAGUUUGAUCCUGGCUCAGAGUUAACGCUGGCGGCGUGCCUAACACAUGCAAGUCGAGCGAAGAGUACCAGAGUACCGGGCUCUUAGCGGCAGACGGGUGAGUAACACUUAAACAAUCUGCCCUCGAAUGGGAGACAACCAAGCGAAAGUUUGGCUAAUACCCCAUACAAUCCUCUCCAGGCAUCUGGAGGGGAUGAAAGGCCCGCAAGGGUCGUUCGAGGAGGAGUUUGCGGCCUAUCAGCUAGUUGGCGGUGUAACAGACCACCAAGGCUAUGACGGGUAGCCGAUCUAAAAGGAUGACCGGCCACAAGGGCACUGAGACACGGGCCCUACUCCUACGGGAGGCAGCAGUGGGGAAUUUUGGACAAUGGACGAAAGUCUGAUCCAGCGACGCCGCGUGAAGGACGAAGGUUUUCGGAUCGUAAACUUCUUUUGCAGGGGACGAAUACGCGCAAGCGUUUGACGGUACUCUGCGAAUAAGCCACGGCUAACUACGUGCCAGCAGCCGCGGUAAUACGUAGGUGGCGAGCGUUACUCGGAAUUACUAGGCGUAAAGCGCGUGUAGGCGGGAGCUUAAGUUUGCUGUUAAAUCUCGUGGCUCAACCUGGGAACUGCGUUUAUGACUGGCAGGCUAGAGUACGGCAGAGGGGGGUGGAAUUCCACGUGUAGCAGUGAAAUGCGUAGAGAUGUGGAGGAACACCGAUGGGAAGGCAGCCCCCUGGGCCAAUACUGACGCUCAUGCACGAAAGCGUGGGUAGCAAACAGGAUUAGAUACCCUGGUAGUCCACGCCCUAAACGAUGUCAACUAGGUGUUGGGGAAGGAGACUUCUUUAGUACCGCAGCUAACGCGUGAAGUUGACCGCCCUGGGGAGUACGGUCGCAAGAUUAAAACUCAAAGGAAUUGACGGGGACCCGCACAAGCGGUGGAUUAUGUGGAUUAAUUCGAUGCAACGCGAAAAACCUUACCUACCCUUGACAUGUCAGGAAGAUUCCAGAGAUGUGGAAGUGCCCGAAAGGGAACCGUAACACAGGUGCUGCAUGGCUGUCGUCAGCUCGUGUCGUGAGAUGUUGGGUUAAGUCCCGCAACGAGCGCAACCCUUGUCAUUAAUUGCCAUCAUUCAGUUGGGCACUUUAAUGAGACUGCCGGUGAUAAACCGGAGGAAGGUGGGGAUGACGUCAGGUCCUCAUGGCCCUUAUGGGUAGGGCUUCACACGUAAUACAAUGGUCGGUACAGAGGGCUGCCAACCCGCAAGGGGGAGCUAAUCCCAGAAAGCCGAUCGUAGUCCGGAUUGUUCUCUGCAACUCGAGAGCAUGAAGUCGGAAUCGCUAGUAAUCGCGGAUCAGCAUGUCGCGGUGAAUACGUUCCCGGGUCUUGUACACACCGCCCGUCACACCAUGGGAGCGGGUUCUGCCAGAAGUAGCUAGUCUAACCGCAAGGGGGACGGUUACCACGGCAGGGUUCGUGACUGGGGUGAAGUCGUAACAAGGUAACCA